GGUGUCUUGGCUAAUGUGUCUUCGCUAAAGUGUCUUGGCUAAAGUGUCUUGGCUAAUGUGUCUUGGCUAAGGUGUCUUGGCUAAUGUGUCUUGGCUAAGGUGUCUUGGCUAAGGUAUCUUGGCUAAGGUGUCUUGGCUAAAGUGUCUUGGCUAAUGUGUCUUGGCUAAGGUGUCUUGGCUAAGGUGUCUUGGUUAAUGUGU